rnacentral:rRNA from 1 species
CGGACGGGUGAGUAACGCGUGGGCAACCUGCCCUUAUCUGGGGGAUAACAGUUGGAAACGACUGAUAAUACCGCAUAAUAUGGUUUGAAGGCAUCUUCUUUCCAUCAAAGAUUUAUCGGAUAAGGAUGGGCCCGCGUCUGAUUAGCUUGUUGGUGAGGUAACGGCUCACCAAGGCGACGAUCAAUAGCCGACCUGAGAGGGUGAUCGGCCACAUUGGAACUGAGACACGGUCCAAACUCCUACGGAAGGCAGCAG